rnacentral:rRNA from 1 species
GAUGAACGCUAGCGGCAGGCUUAACACAUGCAAGUCGAGGGGUAGAGGAAGCUUGCUCCAUGAUUCAGCGGCGGACGGGUGAGUAAUGCCUAGGAAUCUGCCUGGUAGUGGGGGACAAACGUUUCGAAAGGAACGCUAAUACCGCAUACGUCCUACGGGAGAAAGCAGGGGACCUUCGGGCCUUGCGCUAUCAGAUGAGCCUAGGUCGGAUUAGCUAGUAGGUGAGGUAAUGGCUCACCUAGGCGACGAUCCGUAACUGGUCUGAGAGGAUGAUCAGUCACACUGGAACUGAGACACGGUCCAGACUCCUACGGGAGGCAGCAGUGGGGAAUAUUGGACAAUGGCGAAAGCCUGAUCCAGCCAUGCCGCGUGUGUGAAG